rnacentral:rRNA from 1 species
UACGGAGGGUGCAAGCGUUAUCCGGAUUCACUGGGUUUAAAGGGAGCGUAGGUGGGGUGGUAAGUCAGUGGUGAAAUCUCCGGGCUUAACUGGAGGGGUGCCAUUGAUACUGCAGGGCUUGAGUGGAGUCGAAGUAGGCGGAAUUGACGGUGUAGCGGUGAAAUGCUUAGAUAUCGUCAAGAACACCGAUAGUGAAGACAGCUUACUAGGCUUCUACUGACGCUGAGGCACGAAAGUGUGGGGAUCAAACAGG